AACGAACGCUGGCGGCAGGCUUAACACAUGCAAGUCGAACGCAUCCUUCGGGGUGAGUGGCAGACGGGUGAGUAACGCGUGGGAACGUGCCCUUCAGUUCGGGAUAACCCAGGGACACUUGGGCUAAUACCGGAUACGUGCGAGAGCAGAAAGAUUUAUCGCUGAAGGAUCGGCCCGCGUCUGAUUAGCUAGUUGGUGGGGUAAUGGCCCACCAAGGCGACGAUCAGUAGCUGGUCUGAGAGGAUGAUCAGCCACAUUGGGACUGAGACACGGCCCAAACUCCUACGGGAGGCAGCAGUGGGGAAUAUUGGACAAUGGGGGCAACCCUGAUCCAGCAAUGCCGCGUGAGUGAUGAAGGCCUUAGGGUUGUAAAGCUCUUUCACCGAUGAAGAUAAUGACGGUAGUCGGAGAAGAAGCCCCGGCUAACUUCGUGCCAGCCGCCGCGGUAA
rnacentral:rRNA from 1 species